rnacentral:rRNA from 1 species
CACGUAGGGGACGAGCGUUGUCCGGAUUCAUUGGGCGUAAAGCGCGCGUAGGCGGCUCGGAAAGUCGGUCGUGAAAUGCCGGGGCUCAACCCCGGGACUGCGUCCGAUACUCCCGAGCUGGAGGCAGGUAGGGGAGAUCGGAAUUCCUGGUGUAGCGGUGAAAUGCGCAGAUAUCAGGAAGAACACCAAUGGCGAAGGCAGCUCUCUGGGACGGUACUGACGCUGAGACGCGAAAGCGUGGGGAGCGAACAGG